CUCCUCUCAGGAUGGCACCUGGAGAGUUUCCAGUACUUUACCAGUCUCAGCUACUACAGGGAGAGUUAAGCAGAGGCCUAUCCAUUCCAUUCCUAUCUUGGCUGGUGGCUAGCGAGUGGAAGGGAAUCUGCUACAGGU